rnacentral:misc_RNA from 1 species
AAAAAAAAAAAAAAAAAAGAAUAUUAACAAACAUAGAAGAAGUCAAGUUCACAGUUCUCAUCAGAUAAAGUAAAAUACCAUUACAUGAACUAUAUAACGGAUAAUACUUACAAGUGAAGAUUUUUGUCCCCUUAUAUACAAAUCAAGAUGCUAGUGUCAUACUUGGGCAACUGUCCACAGUGCAGGCCAAGAUAUCCCUAUAAUCUCGGGAUAUCCGGAAAGAGUCGUACACCUUUCCAUCUCUGCUCUUCUUGUACUCAAACAACAGGUUCGAAUGAUCAAAUGCUGUAAGCUUUACAAAUCCAUGAUCAUAGUCUUUAUACAAACUCCAUGAUGUUUGGAGUGUAGUAUAUGGUGAAAGGCUUGCUCCUGCACCACCAACAACUACAUGUAUUGUCCCAUUCAGGGUGCCUUUAUAGUAGUGCUUCUCUUUACUGGUGCAUAUAUUCUGAUAUAUGGGGCAGGUUCUUUCAUAGUUGUGUACAUGACCAUACAUGGCAAUAUCAACCUUGUACUUCUGCCAGAGUUUUUGAAGGCUCUCUCUUCCCAUUGGUUCCUCAAAUGAUCCUUCUAUAGCAUAAGUUAUACAAGAAGAAUAACCCAAUACCCGAUGUGCGAGAAAGAUCAGCCAGGGUUGCUUUUGCCUAUCCACUGAAGCCAGGCAAUUCUCAAUAAAUUUGUACUGUUCUGUUCCUUCUCUCCAAUCAUGUUCUGUAUCAGCCACACAGAACCGGAACAUGCCAUAGUCAGUAGAGUACCAGAACUUGGCCCGGUUCUCUGCAGGUACAUAGAACAUAGUCUCAGCCAAAACACCACAUUCUCCCCCAGAAUCCAUGUUCCCAUAGAAGGAUCCUGUCCCUGGCCAGUCACGCUCAUGGUUACCACUGGCAAUCAUGUAAGGGACAGUUGAUGCAAUUGGCUCAAUUUGUGCAGUAAAUUGGUCCCAUUGUGAUAAGUAUCCAUUUGCGUAACAUAUAUCUCCAAUGUGGAAUACUAUAUCAAUGUUAUUCAAUUCUUGAAUGAGCUGCUUGGUGGUGUUAAGAGAGCCAGGCUGAAAAUCAUUAUAUUCACUAGACCCAUCAACUUCACCCUGCAAGAAUAGGUGAAAUGCUUCAUAAAUUGUAUCCAAAUUGAUAAAUAGACUGCUCAUAAGUUCUGAUAUUACUGAGAAAAGAAAUUUUCUAAAAACCUAAAUGUAUAGACAAUAUAAAAGAUUAUAAAUAAAGAUUAAUCAAUAAAGCAAUCUAUUAGAGACACUUAAUAUUUAAAGUCAACAUGCAUAUUUUAGAUGUCACUGAAUUCCAUGGUCACCAUGGCUAGAAAUUGGGGAACAAGUUCAACACAGUUCAAACCUUUCCCAUAUCACCAAAAAUGACUACACGUUGCACAGAAUUUUGUCCAGGAUAUGGAGAUGCUCUAAACUGGUAUUGUUGACUCCAUAUACAAGUACCAUUGAACAAUUUAUGUCCCAGCUUGUAGGAAUACACUUUGUUGGGCCACAAAUCCUUCAAAAAGCUAGUAUGUAUAUAUCCAGGAUCACGCCAUCCCACUGUCCUUGCUGGUGCACCACACAUGCUGUUACGGCUAAAUGUCAGUGUUCCAGCUGGGGAACGUACACGAUCAGCACCUUCUAGACCCCAUUCAACAAAAGGUUGUGCUUCACUGAUCCCAAAUCCACUCGUCCACGUUAUUGUCAUUUCAUUCCAUGCCUUUCCUUGCGCCAAGCGUGGGUAAACCGGUGCCUUAGGAUUUGCAAAAGCAACUGAAUUUGACACUGCCACCAGCUUUGGAUUUGCUAAACCUCCAGAAAAUAAAGCAAAAGCGAAAUCUGAUCUCUGAUUAAUUAACUGAAGCCUCAACAACCCUUUUCCUCUAACUUUGUAGCCCGGGCUACUGUAGUUUGCAUAUUGGUACUUGAUAGGUGCAGUACAUAAAAGUGGAGGAAAAACUCUGGAGCUUGAGCUUUCUUGGUUGCAAGUGUAAGCACUGAAAUUUGCAGGGGAAAACACUCCAAUCCAAUCAGCAUUAGAUGCACUUGAAGACGCAUACUCCACUGUCACCCACUCUGAGUUUUGGCCCUUCAGUCCAAGAAUUGUAGGAGAGGCUUUAACAUAAGCAUGAUCACUAAGAGCAAAAGUCGUCUUAUGAACAGAAAUUCUUGAGAGAGGCUGAAUUCCAUGUGAACUUGCCUCUUGAAGAGUAGCAAGAACCACUGCAAUUGCAGUGAAGAUCAGUUCUAAUCCCCUCAUCCCACGCAACAUCAUUAAUUAAUUGAAUUGCCGAUUAAACAAAAGAAAGAAAAAGAAACAGCUAGUUGCAGUGGCAAAGAUCAUUUGCAGUAGCAAGAAGAAGAAGGUGCAUUAAUGGCGUAUUAUAGGGAGGGAAUGAGGCUGAUGGCUAUUUUAGUCAAUAACAUUAACUUCAGAAUCUUCUUUCGGGGAUGCCAACAGUUGUCCGAUAUUGGUGCGCAAGUCAACUGUUUAACGUCGUCGGAGAGUUUACAGGUGGGCACAAGCUACGAGGUGGCGUUCAGUAAACAAUUUUUUUC